rnacentral:rRNA from 1 species
UACAGAGGGUGCAAGCGUUAAUCGGAAUUACUGGGCGUAAAGCGUGCGCAGACGGUUGCGUAAGUCAGAUGUGAAAGCCCCGGGCUCAACCUGGGAAUUGCAUUUGAGACUGCGUAGCUAGGGCGCGGAAGAGGGAAGCGGAAUUUCCGGUGUAGCGGUGAAAUGCGUAGAUAUCGGAAGGAACACCAGUGGCGAAAGCGGCUUCCUGGUCCAGCACCGACGUUCAGGCACGAAAGCGUGGGGAGCAAACAGG